GCUGGGCACAGUAGCACACGCCUGUAGUCCCAUCUACUCAGGAGGCUGAGCAGAAGGAUCAUUCGAGGCCAGGAGCUCUGGGCUGAAGUGGCCUAUGCCAGUUGGGUGCUGGCCCUAAACUCUGCAUCAAUACGAUGACCUCCCAGGAGGCCACCAGGUUACCCAAAGAGGAGUGAACUGGCCUAGGUUGGAAACCAGGCAGGUAAAAAUUCCAUGUGCUAUCAGUAUUGGGGUGCGCAAUCUAUGAUAGCUAUUGCACUCUGCCUGGGGCAACAUAGCAAGGCCCUGUUUAC
rnacentral:SRP_RNA from 1 species